rnacentral:misc_RNA from 1 species
GGAACCAAAAUUUUUUUCAAAGAAAAGGUAAGUUAACGCUUGGUUUAAUCCCAUGUUGCAUUGUUGAAAAAGCGUAUUUGUUGGUCUUUUGAUCGUCUGUUUUCAUUAUUUAUGGAGUAGUGUAUUUGCAACACUAGAUUCUUCUACGUUUCUUAUAACUUGGAUCCUUAUUCAUUACCUAGGACCACAACAUAGUUCCGAU